AGCUGGACAUUAAGGGGCCAGCAGCACUUUACCAUAGGGAGAUGGAAAGAAGGACAUUCUGGGGAGGAAAAACAUUGUAACUAAAGUGCUGAUGGCAGAAAAGAGGCUCAUGUAUAAAGAAGAGAAAAUCAUCCAGUUUUCCUGGUCCACAAGAGCUCAAUAAGCAGAGAAAUGAGAGAUAAGGUUUAAAACAUGAGUUGAGGUCAUGAAAACAUGGAGAGUCUGUUAGGUUU
rnacentral:lncRNA from 10 species